rnacentral:rRNA from 1 species
AUGGGAUCAAGUCCUUGUUCACAACAUAACAAUGCAGUGAGAGAUGGCCAUGCUUUAUUGGAUCAGUCAAACCAUUUGGCAAAUAUCUUUGAGGUGAAGACCAUCGGGGAUAAAGAAAAGGAUCGUUUAAGGCUGAGAACUACGAUUGCGGUUGUAAAGUGGCUCACAUUUCAGUCUUGUGCUUUAAGAGGCCAUGAUGAGAGGCCGGAAUCAAGAAACAGAGGUAACUUUCUUGAGAUGUUGAAGCUUCUUGCAGACUUCUGCCCUGAUGUUCAAGCUGUAGUUCUUGGGAAUGCUCCACAAGUUUGCAAAUACACAUCACACGAAAUUCAAAAUGAGAUCUUGAGCAUUUAUGCUAUGAAAGUCAGGGAGCAUAUUCGAGCAGAAAUUGGGGACUCAAAGUACUCUAUUCUUGUGGAUGAGACAUGUGAUGUGUCCAAAAGAGAGCAAAUGGCACUAGUUUUCGGAUUUGUUGAUAAAGAUGGUUAUUCACAAGAAAGAUUCUUUCAUCUCAUACAUGUAGCCAACACAAAAGCACUGACACUAAAGAUGGAGUUGUGUAAAGUAUUAUCCAAGCAUGGAUUUGAUGUACAAAAUCUUCGAGGCCAGGGGUAUGAUGGGGCAAGCAACAUGAGGGGAGAGUUGAAUGGAUUGCAAGCUCUAUUCAUUAAAGAUUGCCCCUAUGCAUAUUAUGUUCAUUGCUAUGCUCAUCGGUUGCAACUCUCCCUUGUUGGUGCAGCAAGAGAUGUGGUUCCAGUCACCCAAUUUUUUCAGAAACUUCACUUUGUUAUAAACACAGUUGACUCCUCUUCAAAGCGACAUGAUGAGUUGCAUGACGCCCAGGUGGUUGAGAUUGCACGCUUGCUUGCUAUCGAUCAAAUUGAAACAGGCAAAGGAGCCAAUCAAAUACGCUCAUUGAAGCGACCAGGAGAGACUAGAUGGGGUUCCCACUUAGGUUCGAUUUCUAGUCUUAUGCAUAUGUUCAAUCCAGUGAGAGUUGUUCUAGAAAAUCUAGCCGCAGAUUCAUCAGCUGGAGCAAACCGGGCUGAUGGUGAUACUUCUUUCACUUAG